ensembl:lncRNA
GAAAACUUUAAAGACUAUUUCUAGGAGAUCUCGCUGAGGGGUUUCGGGGCCCUUCUCUAACUGGUGUAGUUUUCGGCAAAUAUCACGGGCUUACUGGCUUAUGAACUGGAUGUGUGGGUACAGAAGUCUGGCGGGGGUGGAGAUAUCUAGAUUAGUGUAUUUUUGGACUGCCUCAGUAAGCCAUGCAAGAAAAAGGGCAGGAUUUUCAUCUUUUUCUUGAGUCACUUCCCUAAUCUUAUCGUAGUUAACAUGAAUGUGAGAGCUUUUUAUCAUUCCUUCUAAUAAACAGGUAAUCAUAUGAUGUAGGUACCGGAUGCCGGCAUCACCUGCUUGAUAUGUCUACCGCGGCUCAGUUAAAGGGACUGCAUCAUCAGCCACCGGAUUAAUCCUGUCUUGGUUAUGGAACUGAUCAGCUCCAUAACCCGGGGGGAAAGGUGAGCUUGUCAGGCUUCCACACUCUGAAGAGCUGGCUGUAAAGAACAAUAAGGAACCUCAACCUCCUGGGUUUGGGCACCAAAAAAUGUAGGGUAAGGGAGUUAGAGAAGGCAAGGUUCUGAAAAAGAAUGAGACCGGCACUUUACAGGAACAGAUCACCUUUAAUGAAGCGAGAAGGGGCAGCAGUCAGAUUAGUGAGCUGCUGCACUAACCCAAGAAAAGAGUCGCACACAGAGGUCCGGAGCUUUGUACCACCGCUUUACUCCAUCCCUGGACAUAGGCUUCCCUGGGAAGGGUAAGGCCAUCCAUGAG